CCUACGGGAGGCAGCAGUGAGGAAUCUUGGUCAAUGGACGGAAGUCUGAACCAGCCAUGCCGCGUGCAGGAAGACGGCUCUAUGAGUUGUAAACUGCUUUUGUACAGGGGUAAAACUGAAUACGUGUAUUAAGCUGCAAGUACUGUAUGAAUAAGGAUCGGCUAACUCCGUGCCAGCAGCCGCGGUCAUACGGAGGAUCCAAGCGUUAUCCGGAGUUAUUGGGUUUAAAGGGUGCGUAGGCGGAUUGUUAAGUUUGAGGUGAAAUGUCCGGGCUUAACUCGGGAACUGCCUUUAAUACUGUUGAUCUAGAGAGUAGAUGCGGUAGGCGGAAUGUAUGGUGUAGCGGUGAAAUGCUUAGAUA
rnacentral:rRNA from 1 species